CACACACACACACACACACACACACAGAGUGCCCCCAGUUCCUGUCAUAGUGACUACCACACGGUAGCUGAUUAGAAGAAAAGAAAGGCUACCGUGCCCAAGCUACACAGUUGAGCUCCCAAGUUCAUUCACCAAAAGGAUGGGACCCACGCCAAAAUCUAUGGACUUGUUCCUGGAAGGGAGGCUACCUGAGGACAUCAGGCUCUGAUGAGGCAGUCCAGGAAACACCCAGCAAGCGAUGGUGUAAAUGUCAUGAUGUCAACUGGUGUGCUCAUAGCCAUCACGCCAAUACAUGGCAUGUCCUUGAAUGGAUGGGUAAAUAAAUUGACCUAUGGCUCCACAGAGGUCAUUUUGGAAGAUGAGUCCAAAGACAGAAGGGUGGGAAAAUUAAAUGAGACAGGAGCAAGACAAGACAAGACUGCCCCCAGCCUGCUAUCUGUGCUGGGUGUAUGGAGCCUGGCAGAGGGGCUCUAAGGGCAAGGCAGACAGGGACACCUCUGCCUGCAAUGCAGUCCCAGCAACUCAUAGUGUUACAUGCCAGGCUUCAAAACUCAAGAGCAAAGCUACUUCUGGCUGGGGUUAGUAUGUGCCAGAAGCCUUGCUGCUGGGGAAGUGUAAUGAUUCAGAGACCCUUCAAUGUACAUAAGUACCCGAGGGAACCUCGGUCCCUCUGGGCGACUCAGGCACCUUAGCUCCUAAGAAAUGGGACCACAGCUAUGAACUGGUUCACUCCUGACCUAGCCAUGAGCACUGAGAUAUGGCUUAUGACCUCAAAGUUACAGGGAGGGUCACAAAGCCAACCUCACCCCCUGAAAACCAGCUCACACCAGACAUCUUUAGGGACUGACUCAUCCAGGACAGGAUCUGUGAAUAAGAAGGGAGAAGGCAUAGCUUUUUCCAUCUACCUCAUCCAUCCCAAAUACAGGGAACAGUCUAGUGAGCGAGCCACAUGCAGCCACCUGGGCUUUGGCCCUUAAGCUGAAAUGGGCAUUCAGCUGCCCUGUGUCUCAACGUCUCCAGCUGGGAAAUGGGAUGGCAAUGCAUGCUUUCCAAGCUGCAGACUAUAGGGAUGGGGCUGGAGUCGCCCGAGGGAGACAGAACAGAAGCACUUAGCAAUGCUCUACAGCUAAGAAGAUGGAAAUGGACCCAGAUGUCUGCCCUGCUCAGAAACCCAUCAGAGGCAUCUCCACUGAAGGGCUCACGGUGCCCGCUGGUUCAAGUCACUGAAGGUACCUUCAGCUGGAAAUUCAUCCUGAGAGCACUUAACCCCCACAAAACCUCCAAACAUCUUUUCUCAUGUCAAGAUAUUUGAGGUGAAAAUGU